rnacentral:tRNA from 1 species
UCCUUAGCUCUCCUGAUAGCUAUCGGGAUGGUUAGAGCAUCUGACUGUUAAUCAGAGGGUCGUUGGUUCAUUCCGAUAGUUAUCGGAACCA